GGGCCCGCACAAGCGGUGGAGCAUGUGGUUUAAUUCGAUGAUACGCGAGGAACCUUACCUGGGCUUAAAUGCAGAACGACAGGUCUAGAGAUAGAUUUUUCUUCGGACAGUUAGCAAGGUGCUGCAUGGUUGUCGUCAGCUCGUGCCGUGAGGUGUCAGGUUAAGUCCUAUAACGAGCGCAACCCCCAUCGUUAGUUGCCAACGAGUAAUGUCGGGAACUCUAACGAAACUGCCGGUGCAAACCGUGAGGAAGGUGGGGAUGACGUCAAAUCAUCACGGCCCUUACGUCCUGGGCUACACACGUGCUACAAUGGUAGGGACAGAGAGCAGCCACUGGGCGACCAGGAGCGAAUCUACAAACCCUAUCACAGUUCGGAUCGCAGUCUGCAACUCGACUGCGUGAAGCUGGAAUCGCUAGUAAUCG
rnacentral:rRNA from 1 species